GUCAGCUGAGCCUGAAGCAGUGGCCUAGAGCUCGCACACCAGACACCGCUGCCCUCUCUCUGAACCCAGAGGAACAUCAGGAUGCCUCAGCCGCCCACCUUCCUCCUGCUUCUCCUCCUUUCCACCGGCAGUGCCCUGGCCCUGAGGCUCUGCUCCUUUAAUGUGAGGUCCUUUGGGGAAGCCAAGAAGGAAAACAAGAAUGCCAUGGAUGUCAUCGUGAAGGUCAUCAAACGCUGUGAUAUCAUACUCCUGAUGGAAAUCAAGGACAGCAAAAACAUUAUCUGUCCCAUGCUGAUGGACAGACUAAAUGGAAAUUCAAGAAAUUCAAGAAAAGGCAUAACGUACAACUAUGUGAUUAGCUCUCGCCUUGGAAGAAACACAUAUAAAGAGCAGUAUGCCUUUCUCUACAAGGAAAAGCUACUGUCUGUGAAGAAACGCUACCUCUACCAUGACUAUCAGGCUGGAGACACAGAUGUAUUUUCCAGGGAACCCUUUGUGGUCUGGUUCCAGUCACCCUACACCGUUGUCAAGGACUUUGUGAUUGUCCCCCUGCACACCACCCCUGAGACCUCCGUUAAAGAGAUUGAUGAGCUGGCUGAUGUCUACACGGAUAUGAAACAUCGCUGGAAGGCGGAGAAUUUCAUUUUCAUGGGUGACUUCAAUGCUGGCUGUAGCUAUGUGCCCAAGAAGGCCUGGAAGAAUAUCCGCUUGAGGACUGACCCCGGGUUUGUUUGGCUGAUAGGGGACCAAGAGGACACCACAGUCAAGGAGAGCACCAACUGUGCAUAUGACAGGAUCGUGCUUCGAGGACAAGAGAUCAUCAGCUUUGUUGUUCACGGAUCAAACAGAACCUUUGACUUCCAGAAAGCUUAUGGGUUGACCAAAGAGGAGGCCUUGGAUGUCAGCGACCACUUUCCAGUUGAAUUUAAACUACAAUCUUCAAGGGUCUCCACCACCAACAAAAAAUCUAUCUCUCCAAGGAAGAAAAAGACCCGUCGCUCCUAGAUACAAGAAUUUCAUUUUAUUAACCAUUUCUUGCUUCUAAAUAAAACAGCUUUAACAGUGGUACCUGAACAUGGCUAAAUAUACGAGCAGUACCAAAGAAUAAGCAGAGACAAGAAAUGCUGCCCCGGGACCUCACCCACUCGGUUCCUGUCUCAGAAGCAACCCCUCUUACCAGUUUAUGCACCCUUCCAAGAGACUCUAUGCAUAAAUAAGCACCAUAUGUAACCUUGAAAUAUA